UUCAAGUUACGUCUGAAGAUUGAAAAGUUACACUUUAUGUUCCACCCGAAAGCGUUUGUCAACUUAAAUUGAAACUUCUGUGUGCGUCUAUCUAUAUUCUCUAUCUUCAUUUUCCUUGGAGAACCGUUAUGGUAUUGCUCUUUGCUACUGGAUAAAUUUCCUCUGCACAAUAAUCUGUCAGUUUAUUAUAAGUCAAUGAAUUGUUUCAAUCCCUACUUGUAUGCAUUGUUGUUGUGCAAAGUCUCUCGUGAUUUAUCUCUCUUUCAGACAAUGGGGGUCAUCCUAGAGGGGUCACGUAACGGUUUCAUCUUUUGUUGCCGCACUAGCUCGCGUUACUAUCUGCUAUUCGGAGAUGCUCUCGUCAUUAGAGGGGCGUUUUAUUAAACUGUUACACUCCAAAUGUGUUUCAGGGGUGUUUCAUAACAAGGUGUCUAUUUGUAUUUUUUUAUUUUAAUUCAGGUAUUCAAUUUUUGAACUGAUUAAUUUUGAAGAUAAUUAGUCAGGCGCUAUGAAUGUUUUUCAUCGAUUAUUAGGAGAAAGUACUUGUAAAAAUUCAUUUAAACUGCCAGCGUUUUUAGAUUAUUGUUCUAUUGAAUGAAAGUUCCUACUUUAUCGUUUUAAA